rnacentral:lncRNA from 10 species
ACUGGCAAAGGAAUGAAGAGGAACAUCUAAGAUGACUCUCAGGUAAAAUUUGACCACAGAUUAUAAUCUGUGUAUAAUAUGAUCUGCAAAGAUGCCAGCAAACCACCAGAAGCCUGGUCUGCAAAGAUGCCGGCAAACCACCAGAAGCAAGGUUCCAUUCACCCUGCAGUUAUGGCUAUUACCGUGCCCAGAAGCCACCACCAGGGGGCUCCAGCAUGUCUCUGAAACCUGGCUGUUCAAGGGUGUCUCACUAUAUUGCUGGCUGGGCUCAAGCAAUCCACCCACCUCAGCUUCCCAAGGAGCGGGGAAGUACAGGCGUGUACCACGGUCAAAUCAUAAACAGCUUACGAUUUGACUUUUAAGCAGAAUUUUUUUUUAAGUUUCUACUGCCAAGUUGCCAACUUAGUGAAUUUUAAAGAAGAGAAUGCUUGUUUGAUGAGAAUAUCAUCUCAUCAAAAAGGUAUAUAAUGUUUUGAGUAGGAAAGCAGAGAAUCAAUUAUGAAACGUCAUCUAGGGACCAUGUGUCAGGAGAAAAACCAUUUUAAAACUACAGACACAAGUCACGAAAAAUUAAAGAAGCCAAUUUACAAUAACAGCUGUAUCUAUCUAAUAACACAUCAUAAAACCAACAAAGCCAUGUUCUGCUGAUAAGGUACAAGUAAAUAUCUACAUAAACUUUUCCCUAGAACUGCAUAUUAUCCAUAAUAGCAAUUUACAUUUGUAUAGUGUGUUUCUGCUUUCAAAAUGUUUUCACAUUCCAUACCAAUAAAUGAAAAAGAAUGUUGUGCAGUGUGCCAGAUGCAGCUGUAGUGCAAAUUGAGGGGGAAAAUGUCUGGACCAUUAGGCAGUGGUUGCAGUUCAGGAUAGCUCUGUCUUUGGCACGUUGUGCUUUAUGAAGAUAAACCCCAGAUUAUGAAGCUGGGUUCCAAUCAAAACAAAAAUCAAACAAGGCUGAGAGGACCAAUUAAAAGACAAGGCAAGAGAAGCAUAUCCUGCUAUGAUUUGAAUCACACUUCUAACCACUGACCUACACAGUACCAGGGAAGGAAUAAAAAUAGAACAUAAGUCUGGUUCCACCAGUUAAUUUAAAUUGCUUAUAAUUUCACCUUUAAAUCGGCCACUCCAACUCAUCAGGGUUGGCAACAAAUAAAGUGUGAUUUACAAAAAGAACCUAGUAGGAAGGAGAGAGAGAAAAGCUAUGCACCAACAUACUAAGCCAGGUGGAAUCACUCUAUACAAAGGUAAACAGAACUGAUCCCGGAAAACAACAACAACAAAAACCUGUUAAGUGAAGUGGGCUAAGGCGACCUUCCUUUAGGAGUCACUCCUUUCUUAGACUCUUUCUCACUGCCUUUCCUCCUAUUUUCUCUGGUCUUCCCCACCCCAACCAUUCACACUCCCCACUUCCAGGCCUUAGAAACAGGAAAAGAUCUUCAGUGUGAAUCAGUUGAGGUCAGAUACUCCUAACCAGAACUUAACACAUUGAAUCAGGUGUCCGGAAAUGAACUUAGAAGUCUUUUCCCCCCUAAUGUUUCGCCCUCUGCAUCAAUUGUCUUAUAAUAAUUCCUACACAUGGAGCCCAGACUCUGAGUAAACACGUUCCCUGACUGUAAAUCAAGGCCUCCUGGGGCAGCUCAUUCCAUUUCUGGAUUGUUCUAAUCAUUAAAAUCUUCUCAGUUGUGCUAGCCAAAAUUAGCCCCCUACAGUUUCUCCUCACUUGAGAAACAUAAAACAAGUCCUUCUCCUCCUGGCAGCCUUUCACUUUGUUUGAAGGCAGCUGUCCUCCCCACCAAGUGCUAUGUCCCUGCAGUUUAACUAUGCCUAAAUGCCCCUCAUAGGACAGGAUUUAUAGGCUCCUAACCAUAUUGGUUAUCCUCUCUUGAACAUGUUGCAGUUCAACAAAGUCCCUGUUCAAAAAUGUCACCCAGAAUAGAACACAAUAUUGCAAGAAUGGCCUAUAUAUGGAAUGAAAGCCUUUAUCCACUGUUGAAAAAACUGAGCCUUCAAGAACCAAGGAUCACAAAAACAAGAGAAGGGUUUGUGUUGUUGUUGUUGUUGUUGUUGUGU